rnacentral:rRNA from 1 species
AGAGUUUGAUCAUGGCUCAGGACGAACGCUGGCGGCGUGCUUAACACAUGCAAGUCGAACGCGCUCCAAUCGGUAGCAAUACUGAUGAAGAGCGAGUGGCGAACGGGUGAGUAGCACGUGAGCAACCUGCCCCGAAGACUGGGACAACACCGGGAAACCGGUGCUAAUACCGGAUAUCCCUAUCGGAUCGCAUGAUCCGC